rnacentral:misc_RNA from 1 species
GAUCUUCAUAAGAAACGAUGUGGCGGAUCUAGUGAAGCCUUACGGGGGGACUGUGUAUAGGUCUAAACGACCCAACCCCUUGUAGGCGUCUGCUUGUGAUGCUGGAGAAGGCAAGGUCGACACUCAUUGGAAAAUCUACUUGACACCAAGAGCAGAAACAUAAAGCAAUCAUUUCUUUUUGAACAUCAGUUAUUGUAUGUGGUGAUAUAAUUAACAAUAUACUCAUAUGUUUACAGUUUUGUUUGUGGAACUGUUGAAAAAUACCGGUAUUUAUAAAUUUGUUGUUCC